rnacentral:rRNA from 1 species
GACGAACGCUGGCGGCGUGCUUAACACAUGCAAGUCGAACGGAAAGACCCUGCUCUUGUGGGGCGCUCGAUUGGCGAACGGGUGAGUAACACGUGAGUAACCUGCCCUUGUCUUUGGGAUAUCUUCAGGAAACUGGGGCUAAUACCGGAUAGGAUCUCCUGCUGCAUGGUGGUGGAUGGAAAGUUUCGGCGGUUGGGGAUAGACUCGCGGCUUAUCAGCUUGUUGGUGGGGUAGUGGCUUACCAAGGCUUUGACGGGUAGCCUGCCUGAGAGGGUGACCGGCGACAUGAGGACUGCGAGACGGCCCAGACUGCUACGGGAGGCAGAAGUGGGGAAUAUUGCACAAUGGGCGGACGCGAGAUGCAGAGGCGCUGCGUGCGGGAUGCCGGCCUACGGGUUGUAAACCGAUUUCGACUGUGCCGAAGCGUGAGUGACGGUAAUGGGUAAAGAAGCACCGGCUAACUACGUG